GAUGAACGCUGGCGGCGUGCUUAACACAUGCAAGUCGAAAGAAGCAUUUUAUUUUGAUUUUUUUGGAAUGAAAAAUUUGGUGAAUGAGUGGCGGACGGGUGAGUAACGCGUGGGUAACCUGCCUCAUACAGGGGGAUAACAGUUAGAAAAGAAUGCUAAUACCGCAUAAGACCACAGCACCGCAUGGUGCAGGGGUAAAAAAUCCGGUGGUAUGAGAAGGACCCGCGUUUGAUUAGGUAGUUGGUGGGGUAACGGCCUACCAAGCCGACGAUCAGUAGCCGACCUGAGAGGGUGACCGGCCACAUUGGGAAUGAGACACGGCCCAAAAUCCUACGGGAGGCAGCAGUGGGGAAUAUUGCACAAUGGGGGAAACCCUGAUGCAGCGACGCCGCGUGAGCGAUGAAGUAUUUCGGUAAGUAAAGCUCUAUCAGCAGGGAAGAAAAAGACGGUACCUGACUAAGAAGCACCG
rnacentral:rRNA from 1 species